rnacentral:rRNA from 1 species
AUUGAACGCUGGCGGCAGGCCUAACACAUGCAAGUCGAACGAGUGGCGGACGGGUGAGUAAUGUCUGGGAAUCUGCCUGAUGGAGGGGGAUAACUACUGGAAACUGUAGCUAAUACCGCGUACCAUAGGAUGUUCCCAGAUGGGAUUAGCUAGUUGGUGUGGUAAAGUCUCACCUAGCCGACGAUCCCUAGCUGGUCUGAGAGGAUGACCAGACACACGGGAACGGGGAAACGGCCCAGACUCCUACGGGAGGCAGCAGUGGUGAAUAUUGCCCAAUGGGUGCAACCCUGCCGCAGCCAUGCCGCGUGGAUGAAGAAGGCCUUCGUGUUGUAAAGGACUUUCAGUGGGGAGGCGUUACCCACAGAAGAAGCACCGGCUAACUCCGUGCCAGCAGCCGCGGUAAUAC